GAUAAUGAGUAGAUGAUACCACUUCUUAGUUCCGAAUCACCAACUAUAUAAAGCAAUGGUCAGAAACAACCUUCUCCACUACCUAUCUGCACAACACUUCGGAAAUCCUCCAAAACCGAUCUAUCAAGUCCUAAUCAUUUGGUAGAGUCAUGGAGCUCUUUUGGCAAAAAUCCAUCAGUGGUUCUUGAUUCUUGAAGAAGGCAUGGAUUAACAGUGUGAAAGGGUCCUCAAACCUCACACUCCAUCACUUCCAACAGUUUGUUUUGGCUUUAGCUAUUGGCUUCUGUAAUCACCAAGGGAUAGUAUAAUACAUAGUAUUAUAUAUUCUCUAUGACUAACAGAAGCAUAUAAGCAUUCUCCAUUGGAGCAAAGCUUUCUUUGGCUAGAGCUAGGGCAAGCCGGCAAGUCUCUUAUGGCUCUAAUUUAUGGCUCUAAUCUCUAUCUAUGUAUCCUAUUAUCAUAGUUCUUCUUGUAGAAGUAGAAUGUAAUAAAUAAAAAAGGCCUUCCUUUGAGAAGUUAGUUACUAACUUCAAUUAGUGUAUGCUUGUUUGUAUUAUGAGUUAUGAGCAAUGAAUUUAUUAGUA